rnacentral:sRNA from 1 species
UCAAUUAAAGUUCCACGUGAUCCAUGGGU